CUCUUAUCAAGAGAGGUGGAGGGAUGUGCCCGAUGAAACCCGGCAACCGACAAGGAGAUUUCCUUGGAAAGGUGCCAAUUCACACAAAGUUUAAUCACUUUGGAAGAUGAGAG
rfam:Bacillus sp. FJAT-22058 super1, whole genome shotgun sequence.